rnacentral:rRNA from 1 species
AACGCGAAGAACCUUACCUGGGCUUGACAUGUGAGUGACAGGUGUGGAAACACACCCUCCCUUCGGGGCACUUUCACAGGUGGUGCAUGGCUGUCGUCAGCUCGUGUCGUGAGAUGUUGGGUUAAGUCCCGCAACGAGCGCAACCCCCGUCGCAUGUUGCCAGCAUUAAGUUGGGGACUCAUGCGAGACUGCCGGUGACAAACCGGAGGAAGGUGGGGAUGACGUCAAGUCAUCAUGCCCCUUAUGUUCAGGGCUACACACGUGCUACAUUGGCGCGUACAGAGGGUUGCGAUACCGCGAGGUGGAGCGAAUCCCUUAAAGCGCGUCUCGGUUCGGAUUGCAGGCUGAAACUCGCCUGCAUGAAGGCGGAGUUGCUAGUAAUCGCGGAUCAGCAAUGCCGCGGUGAAUACGUUCCCGGGCCUUGUA